rnacentral:tRNA from 13 species
GGGUUCGGCCGGGAUUUGAACGCGGGACCUCUCGCACCCUAAGCGAGAAUCAUACCCCUAGACCACCGAACC